AUUGAACGCUGGCGGCAUGCCUUACACAUGCAAGUCGAACGGCAGCACGGGAGCUUGCUCCUGGUGGCGAGUGGCGAACGGGUGAGUAAUACAUCGGAACGUACCCUGAAGUGGGGGAUAACGUAGCGAAAGUUACGCUAAUACCGCAUAUUCUGUGAGCAGGAAAGAGGGGGAUCGCAAGACCUCUUGCUUUAGGAGCGGCCGAUGUCGGAUUAGCUAGUUGGUGAGGUAAAGGCUCACCAAGGCGACGAUCCGUAGCGGGUCUGAGAGGAUGAUCCGCCACACUGGGACUGAGACACGGCCCAGACUCCUACGGGAGGCAGCAGUGGGGAAUUUUGGACAAUGGGCGCAAGCCUGAUCCAGCCAUGCCGCGUGAGUGAAGAAGGCCUUCGGGUUGUUAAAGGCUC
rnacentral:rRNA from 1 species